rnacentral:rRNA from 1 species
AUUGAACGCUGGCGGCAGGCCUAACACAUGCAAGUCGAACGAGUGGCGGACGGGUGAGUAAUGUCUGGGAAACUGCCUGAUGGAGGGGGAUAACUACUGGAAACGGUAGCUAAUACCGCAUACCCUCGGAUGUGCCCAGAUGGGAUUAGCUAGUGGGUGGGGUAACGGCUCACCAAGGCGACGAUCCCUAGCUGGUCUGAGAGGAUGACCAGCCACCCUGGAACUGAGACACGGUCCAGACUCCUACGGGAGGCAGCAGUGGGGAAUAUUGCACAAUGGGCGCAAGCCUGAUGCAGCCAUGCCGCGUGUGUGAAGAAGGCCUUCGGGUUGUAAAGCACUUUCAGCGGGGAGGCGUUACCCGCAGAAGAAGCACCGGCUAACUCCGUGCCAGCAGCCGCGGUAAUAC